GAUGAAGAACGCAGCGAAAUGCGAUAAGUAAUGUGAAUUGCAGAAUUCAGUGAAUCAUCGAAUCUUUGAACGCACAUUGCGCCCGCCAGCAUUCUGGCGGGCAUGCCUGUUCGAGCGUCAUUUCAACCCUCGACUUCCCUUUGGGGAAAUCGGCGUUGGGGACCGGCUGUAUACCGCCGGCCCCGAAAUGAAGUGGCGGCCCGUCCGCGGCGACCUCUGCGUAGUAAUCCAACUCGCACCGGAACCCCGACGUGGCCACGCCGUAAAACCCCCGACUUCUGAACGUUGACCUCGGAUCAGGUAGGAAUACCCGCUGAACUUAAGCAUAUCAAUAAGCGGAGA
rnacentral:misc_RNA from 1 species